UACGUAGGUGGCAAGCGUUGUCCGGAUUUACUGGGCGUAAAGAGCGCGCAGGCGGUUGAUUAAGUCGAAUGUGAAAGCCCCCGGCUCAACUGGGGAGGGUCAUUCGAUACUGAUUGACUUGAAGGCAGGAGAGAGAAGUGGAAUUCCCGGUGUAGUGGUGAAAUGCGUAGAUAUCGGGAGGAACACCAGUGGCGAAGGCGGCUGCCUGGCCCAAUACUGACACUCAGGUGCGACAGCGUGGGGAGCAAACAGG
rnacentral:rRNA from 1 species